rnacentral:pre_miRNA from 1 species
CUGACUGAUUUCUCUUGGUGUUCAGAGUCUCAGAGUUUUUCUAGCACCAUUAGAAACUGGUUAU